ensembl:lncRNA
GUAAACAACAGGAAAUUAUAUAUUUUUAAUUGCUAAUCUCAAACCUAAGCAGAAAGCAGGUUUCUCAAGUCAACGUUAACACAGGCAUUUCCUUACAGAGAUCUUUAAUAUAAAGCCACCACACACACUUUACUCACUCUACAUAAUGCCAAAACAGAAGAAGGGGUCAAGCAACUUAAAUAUAAAAAAGCAUGAGCUAAAACCUCAGAUUCACACCCCUCACUUUAAACACAUUUACACAUAAACUUACCAUUCCUUUUAAUACGGUCUCACUUUAGCCAGGGAUGUUUAAUAAGAACAGUUCUAGGCCGACUUUUUCACAUUCCCCAUCAGUUUAGUCUAUGGCGCCCUCUAAAGGCUGUCUAAAUACUAGCAUUUUCAUAAGAUAUGAGCUGGUAGCCUCCUUCAUCGAAACCAGACGGGAAAUAUUUGCAAUUUAUGAUUAAAUUUAAUAAACUUUGGUAAUUUGUAAUUACCAGUAAUUAAUUGUGAAUCACUGUUUCCUCUGAUUACCCUCAUGUGAGGAUUCAGCAAUUAUAGAUCAAAAAAUGUGUUUACACCUGAAGAUAAAUGUUUUAUUGACAAUAACAUUUUUGUAUAUUCAUAAUUUCUACUGAUGGCUGCUGCUGCUGGCUCUGUUUCAUCAGGUACUCAUCUGAAGACUUUUAUUUUGCCCGUUUGUUGGCGGUGGCGUAGUGUACAUCCACAUCACCAGCCUUCUCUCAACAUCUGGGAGAGGCCCUCACUGAGGAGUAGGUCACUGCAUCGCUGGAAUCGUCCUCAACCUAUAG